UACGGGGGGAGCAAGCGUUGUUCGGAUUUACUGGGCGUAAAGGACGCGUAGGCGGCCAGCACAAGUCAGUUGUGAAAUCUCCGAGCUUAACUCGGAACGGUCAACUGAUACUGUGCGGCUAGAGUGCGGAAGGGGCAACUGGAAUUCUUGGUGUAGCGGUGAAAUGCGUAGAUAUCAAGAGGAACACCUGCGGCGAAGGCGGGUUGCUGGGCCGACACUGACGCUGAGGAGCGAAAGCCAGGGGAGCAAACGGG
rnacentral:rRNA from 1 species